rnacentral:tRNA from 1 species
CAUUAAGUGGCUGAAACUUUUAAGCAAUGGUCUCUUAAACCAUACUAUGGGAAUUUCCCCCUUAAUGA